rnacentral:rRNA from 1 species
GACGAACGCUGGCGGCGUGCUUAACACAUGCAAGUCGAACGGAAAGGCCCCUUUGGGGGUACUCGAGUGGCGAACGGGUGAGUAACACGUGAGUAACCUGCCCUUGACUUCGGGAUAACUUCAGGAAACUGGGGCUAAUACCGGAUAGGAAUCCUUGCUGCAUGGUGGGGGUUGGAAAGCUUCGGCGGUUUUGGAUGGACUCGCGGCUUAUCAGCUUGUUGGUGGGGUAGUGGCUUACCAAGGCUUUGACGGGUAGCCGGCCUGAGAGGGCGACCGGCCACAUUGGGACUGAGAUACGGCCCAGGCUCCUACGGGAGGCAGCAGUGGGGAAUAUUGCACGAUGGGCGGAAGCCUGAUGCAGCAACGCCGCGUGCGGGAUGACGGCCUUCGGGUUGUAAACCGCUUUCAGCAGGGGCGAAGCUUGUGGUGACGGUACCUGCAGAAGAAGCACCGGCUAACUACGUG